rnacentral:rRNA from 1 species
AGAGUUUGAUCAUGGCUCAGAAUGAACGUUGGCGGCGUGGAUUAGGCAUGCAAGUCGAACGGGCCUGGCAACAGGCCAGUGGCGCAAGGGUGAGUAAGGCGACGGUAACCAACCCCAUGGUCGGGUAUAGCCGCGGGAAACUGCGGGUAAUCCCCAGCGAUGUACGAGGCCGGCAUCGGCGUGGUACCAAAGCUCCGGCGCCGUGGGACAGGCCGUUGUGGUAUUAGGUUGUUGGCGGGGUAACGGCCCACCAAGCCUCUGAUGCCUACCGGGCGUGCGAGCGUGGCCCGGCACACUGGGAUUGAGACACUGCCCAGACUCCUACGGGAGGCUGCAGUCGAGAAUCUUCGGCAAUGGGCGCAAGCCUGACCGAGCGACGCCGCGUGGAGGACGAAGGCCUUCGGGUUGUAAACUCCUGUCGAGGGGGAGGAAGGGGCAACCUUGACCGAUCCCUGGAGGAAGCACGGGCUAAGUUCGUGCCAGCAGCCGCGGUAAGACGAACCGUGCGAACGUUAUUCGGAAUCACUGGGCUUAAAGCGCGUGUAGGCGGAUGGGAACGUCGGUCUUUGAAAGCCCCCGGCUCAACCGGGGAAGCGGAGCCGAAACGACCGAUCUGGAGGGACGUAGGGGGACCUGGAACUUCCGGUGGAGCGGUGAAAUGCGUUGAGAUCGGAAGGAACGCCCGUGGCGAAAGCGAGGUCCUGGACGUCUGCUGACGCUGAGACGCGAAAGCUAGGGGAGCAAACGGGAUUAGAUACCCCGGUAGUCCUAGCCGUAAACGAUGGGCACUGGGUAGGGGGCUCGCCGAUGGGCUCUCUGCCGCAGCGAAAGCGUGAAGUGCCCCGCCUGGGGAGUAUGGUCGCAAGGCUGAAACUCAAAGGAAUUGACGG